rnacentral:ncRNA from 2 species
UUUAGCCUUCAUGGUGACGGUUCCCCGAGGGAAGACUUCCGACGGGAUCAAAAGGGAACACGGUGCGGACGACCCUGACGGGACCAAGACCGUGGCUGCCCCCGCAACUGUAAGCGGAUUGUCGAUCGGCCCCUGUGGCGCCUUCGGGCGCCAUGCCACUGCGCGAAACGCGCGGGAAGGCAGGCCGGCGGCGCAUAUGCGCGAGCCAGGAGACCUGCCGUCCAGAUAUCAACCAA